GACGAACGCUGGCGGCGUGCCUAAUACAUGCAAGUUGAGCGCUGAAGGUUGGUACUUGUACCAACUGGAUGAGCAGCGAACGGGUGAGUAACGCGUGGGGAAUCUGCCUUUGAGCGGGGGACAACAUUUGGAAACGAAUGCUAAUACCGCAUAAAAACUUUAAACACAAGUUUUAAGUUUGAAAGAUGCAAUUGCAUCACUCAAAGAUGAUCCCGCGUUGUAUUAGCUAGUUGGUGAGGUAAAGGCUCACCAAGGCGAUGAUACAUAGCCGACCUGAGAGGGUGAUCGGACACAUUGGGACUGAGACACGGCCCAAACUCCUACGGGAGGCAGCAGUAGGGAAUCUUCGGCAAUAGACGAAAGUCUGACCGAGCAACGCCGCGUGAGUGAAGAAGGUUUUCGGAUCGUAAAACUCUGUUGGUAGAGAAGAACGUUGGUGAGAGUGGAAAGCUCAUCAAGUGACGGUAACUACCCAGAAAGGGACGGCUAACUACGUG
rnacentral:rRNA from 1 species